CCUACGGGAGGCAGCAGUGAGGAAUAUUGGUCAAUGGGCGCGAGCCUGAACCAGCCAAGUCGCGUGAGGGAGGACGGCCCUACGGGUUGUAAACCUCUUUUGCCGGGGAGCAACGGGCGUCACGUGUGGCGCCACUGAGAGUACCCGGAGAAAAAGCCUCGGCUAACUCCGUGCCAGAAGCCGCGGUAAUGCGGAGGAUGCGAGCGUUAGCCGGAGUUAGUGGGUUAAAAGGGUGCGUAGGCGGCUCGUUAAGUCAGUGGUCAAAUUGAGGGGCUCAACCCCUUCCCGCCAUUGAAACUGGCGCUCUUGAGUGGAAGAGAAGUAUGCGGAAUGCGUGGUGUAGCGGUGAAAUGCAUAGAUAUCACGCAGAACCCCGAUUGCGAAGGCAGCAUGCCGGCUUCCGACUGACGCUGAAGCACGAAAGCGUGGGGAUCAAACAGGAUUAGAUACCCUUGUAGUC
rnacentral:rRNA from 1 species